rnacentral:rRNA from 1 species
UACGUAGGGGGCUAGCGUUGUCCGGAAUCAUUGGGCGUAAAGCGCGUGUAGGCGGUUCGGUAAGUCCGCUGUGAAAGUCGGGGGCUCAACCCUCGAAUGCCGGUGGAUACUGUGGGGCUAGAGUCCGGAAGGGGCGAGUGGAAUUCCUGGUGUAGCGGUGAAAUGCGCAGAUAUCAGGAGGAACCCCAAUGGCGAAGGCAGCUCGCUGGGACGUGACUGACGCUGAGACGCGAAAGCGUGGGGAGCAAACAGG